GCCCAGACUCCUACGGGAGGCAGCAGUGGGGAAUAUUGCACAAUGGGGGAAACCCUGAUGCAGCCAUGCCGCGUGUGUGAAGAAGGCCUUCGGGUUGUAAAGCACUUUCAGCGAGGAGGAAAGGUUGAUGCCUAAUACGUAUCAACUGUGACGUUACUCGCAGAAGAAGCACCGGCUAACUCCGUGCCAGCAGCCGCGGUAAUACGGAGGGUGCAAGCGUUAAUCGGAAUUACUGGGCGUAAAGCGCACGCAGGCGGUUGGAUAAGUUAGAUGUGAAAGCCCCGGGCUCAACCUGGGAAUUGCAUUUAAAACUGUCCAGCUAGAGUCUUGUAGAGGGGGGUAGAAUUCCAGGUGUAGCGGUGAAAUGCGUAGAGAUCUGGAGGAAUACCGGUGGCGAAGGCGGCCCCCUGGACAAAGACUGACGCU
rnacentral:rRNA from 1 species